rnacentral:misc_RNA from 1 species
UCCGGCUUAUCACCGGCAGUUUCUCUAGAGUGCCCAACUAAAUGGUAGCAACUAGAGACGAGGGUUGCGCUCGUUGCGGGACUUAACCCAACAUCUCACGACACGAGCUGACGACAGCCAUGCAGCACCUGUGUUCCAGCCAGCCGAACUGAAGAAAGCCAUCUCUGGCGAUCAUACUGGACAUGUCAAAGGUUGGUAAGGUUCUGCGCGUUGCUUCGAAUUAAACCACAUACUCCACUGCUUGUGCAGGCCCCCGUCAAUUUCUUUGAGUUUUAACCUUGCGGCCGUACUCCCCAGGCGGAUGACUUAACGCGUUAGCUGCGCCACCGAAGCCCUAAGGGCCCCGACAGCUAGUCAUCAUCGUUUACGGCGUGGACUAC